rnacentral:rRNA from 1 species
UACAGAGGUCUCAAGCGUUGUUCGGAUUCAUUGGGCGUAAAGGGUGCGUAGGUGGCGCGAUAAGUCGAACGUGAAAACUCGGAGCUCAACUCCGAGCCUGCGUUCGAUACUGGACGGCUAGAGUCUGGUAGGGGGAUCUGGAAUUCCUGGUGUAGCGGUGGAAUGCGCAGAUAUCAGGAAGAACACCCGUGGCGAAGGCGGCUCUCUGGGACGGUACUGACGCUGAGGCGCGAAAGCUAGGGGAGCAAACGGG